GUUUCAUGUGCUACAGAGGUUUAUUUCUACAGUAGUGUGCUGUUCAUGUUUUUGUUGCUGUUUGAACUUUUGAGGUUUAUUUUUUAUUCUCCCCCCCCUCCACUUACAGUAGUGUGCAAUUCUUUUAUGCCUGCAAUGCCAUGGAGAAACCACCAGGAGAGCAACCACUGAUCAUAGCAGCAUAUGAGGCGAAAUCCCAUCCCUUAAAAGAAUAUGUAGCCAGGAGCACAACUUCGUUUAAAUGACUCCACUUAAAUUCAGCUUCACAUCGUGAAAUUCAUAGUACAGAGACAAUACCAGCUGCAGAAUAAAGAUGAAAAACUCCCAGCUGAAAUAACACCCAGGCAGUGCAUUCACCCAGUGCCAAAGAGCUGGGCAUGGCUGCAGUAUAACAAAGCUCUGUACCGAGCCUGUUCAGUCUCAGGAAGAAACCUGUCACCUCUACAGAAGACUAAGCUCCAAGACACCGACCAAGACAACAUCAUGAAACCACAGACGUGGAAUUCUACAGAGUCGUUACUGGACUUGUUUUUCAGAGCCUAAACUUUCCAUCCUGUUUCAGGGUCUGCACCCAGGUGGGUAUGCAAGCAAUGAGACAUCCAUUCAACAAGACCAGGGAGUCAAAGAUAACAGUUCCUCCCAGCCUUCUCAGUAUUGCACAUAAAUUCCCUGGUAAGCCAAGUGUCUCAAACUGCAGAUCUACGAUACAUAAGCAGAGGUGAAGGUGAUAAGUGAGAAAGGUGGGUAAAUGACACUAAAAGUACAGUAAAUUCAGGUGGGCAUUGGAUUUGUGAUACUGUACAUGCUUUAGUGCUGCUUAAUAUUGAUCAGCCUGGGAGUUUUCCUUCCAAACCUGUUGCACUAUUUAUCCUCUCUGCAAUCUAAGAGGAAAGGCAAAAAUCUAGAAUCUUCUCAUACCGAAGAGCAAAAAAUCAGGCUUGCUUUGAUAUCCAUGUUUUGGAGAUAAAAAAAAUCCAAGAACUAAAAAGAUCUACGUGAGCAUUUUCGAAGCUACAGAAUGUUCUUUCUACAGAUAAACUGAAGUCCAGUUGUUCAAACUAUCAGGAUAACAACAAGGGUGGAAUUUAAUUUGUGUUCUGUGAGUAGUUUAAUGGCUGACAAAAAGGAGGGAUGAUGAAAGGGCCUCUAAUUUUGCAGGGAAGAGCAUGACAUAUUCAGAUUUAUGGACAAAUUCUAGGCCCAAAUGUUUAAUCUUUCAAAACAGACAAAACGAGCAGAGCAGUCUAAAGAGGCAAAAGGCAAGUUUAAUAUUUCUUUAUCUUAUCAUCCCUAACUUCUGGAAACUAUACUUGAGGAUAUUGAAAGUGAAACUAAAUGCAGUAGAGGGUUAAUUUCUUUAUUUGUGUUGCUCUUUGCUAUGUUUGACUGGAAAUUCUUUACCUUUUAGAAAGUGUAAAUGAACACAUAAAUUAGUAUGAGUUUCAGAUACUAAAAACACUUGUAGCCCAGCACACUAAACUUGGUAUACUAUUUAAGUACCCCCCAAAAAAUCCCCAAAGACAUUGCAACUGAAUUUCUUGUUUCUUCCUGCUCCAGUGCAAUCAGUUCUGUCUGGUGGCAUCUGAAGUGACACAAUAUUUGUAAUGUGAAUGCAAAAGAAUCUCAGUUAUGGGAGAACUGUCUAAAAUUCAUCACAGAUCUCUCAAAUUUGGCUGCUGCACAGCGAGUUGUUCUGUACAGAAGUCUUCCCAGGCGUGCAGAUAGUGUUAACUACAAAAUAUCUUUUUAAUUUUCAAAAUGAAAAAUGCAGAGACAAAGCGUGGUAAUUCAUUCAACCUUUAGAAAGUCAUGAAUCUGCUUACAUUUAGGUCACUAUUUUACAUAUAUGGAAACCUUUUUAGAGGGAAAAACCUUAUUUAUACUUUCUGCUGGAGGGAAAAGUAAAUUGCUGAUAACUUGUUAAAGUUCCAUUAAAAAACCCCUCACAGCUAGUCAUACUAUGGCUUUCCUGGGUACUUCCCUAGGAGGAGAUUUCUGAGUUCUCUGGUUGGUGCUGCUGCAAAAAAAGAUUAUGCAGAAAUAUAUUUGCAACUUCAAUUUCUCUGUGUGUGUGUGCCCUUUGACUCUGUUUGGACUACAGUCACGUAAAUAAGUGUAUUAGUUUCAGCAAUUUUUUCCAGUGGAGAAGCUGAGGUUUCACGAGAACUCUCCACCCAAGCAGAGUUAUGCAGCCACUUCUUUUCACCUCUCUUAUCCCCUGGUUCCACAAACAAAACUCGUGGCAAUAUAUCAGUAACCCUUCACCUGACUGUUGUGAGCAGUGCUCACAGUGUGCAGGCUCCCCAAAAUGAUAAGACUGUCUGUUCUUUAAGGAUAAGCCUCAGAGACACCUCAAUUAUUCUUUUGUGUUGUUUAUGAACUGCAGAGAGUGGUUUGGAGGCUGCACCGAGGGUGGUUGAUUCCAUAAUAAUUUGGGAACUUGUGACCUCGUUCAGAAAUGUCCAGUGAGUGAUACAGUGCAGAGUCCCAAUUUUAAAGGGUUUGUGAGAUGUUUGAGGGUUAUUUAUUUGGGGGUUUUGUUGUUUUGUUUGGAAAUAUUUAUAUCUGGUGUUCUGCCAGGCUUUAUUUGGAUUACCUUGCUGUACGUUUCCUUAGCAAAGAAGUAGUCUGUGCAUAUCAGGAAGACAUGUUUUUAGUUGGGUUAAGAUUUGAUUUAAUAAAUAUUACUAAAAAAUAAUUGUCAGUUGUAAAGAUAAUACUUGAAGAUGCUCUAAUGGAGUCCUGAAAGGGUCCUCAUCUUUCUGCUCUCCUGAACAGGCAUAAAAAUCUCCCACACUUUAAAGAGAAUGCAAGUUAAAAGUUGUUACUUGAUUUUUUUUUUCGUAUUUUUAUUUCCUCUAAAGCAGCAUAAAAUUUCCAAUUAAUAUAGACAGCAGUUAAAUGAAUUCAGAACUGGGAUUGAAGGGAGAAAUGAUUUUGUUUCCUUACUGAAGUCCAGUAAGUUGGUUUUUUGUUUGGGUUUUUUGGGGAGUUUUUUUUAGGUUUUUUGAUUCUUCAGCUGAAUGAACUGGAAAUGGGAAAAAUAUUGCCUGUUUCACCAGUGCUGUACAUAUGAAACCAUCUUUUUUUAAAAAAAAAUGUAUGUCCCUUAAUUGCUAAUGUUGAAAGGCUCCACAAAGCUGCAGAAGGCCUUUUGUUAACUGUAGUGAAAGCUGUGGUGAUAAUAAUGCUGGGUAAAAAAAAAAAAAAAAAGUCUUGAUUUAAUACCUCUUAAAGAAAUGACUUUUGGAAGUUGAGCUAAAGAAAUAUCAGAUGUUAAACAAACCCUGUUUGCUUGGCAGCAUGGGAAAUUAGAAAUUCUGCUGUCGCUACCUAGCAGUGGUUGUCAAAAAGCAAAAUACUUGGCUUAAAACCGUGAGUUCCGUUCAGAAACACAAAAUUGUUUUUCACAACAAGCUCUUUGGUGGAAAUCAAAGCAGAGCUUUGCUCAGGAGCUUGCUUUCAUCUUCCCUCACAACCUGUCUGUGGUGGCUGGAUGCAGCACAGUCCAACAGUGCGCGAUAAAACCGAGGUCUUUAUCAAACAGCUGUUAAAUCAAAUAAAACUACCUUGAUGGGUACGAACCCCUUUAAUGGUUGCCCAUUAAGAGGGGCGAUGCUGUAUCACUCCGAUUGAUGGGGACAUAAAAGCAGGACAAAGAACACUUUGCCGGUGUUAAAUGCCCAUCGUGGCAAUAAGUCUCUAAAAUCAGCGCAGAAAAUUGUCCUGUCUCAAAAGCUGCUCGCCAGAGCAUCACCACGCUGGAUCUGACAAUGGCACUGCUUCUCCUUUUUGCUGAGGAAUUUACUGUGAUACAGAGAUGAGCUCCUGAAACAUGAACUCAGUCGCGAUCCCCCCUCAGUUUUAUUGUCUCUGAGGGCACACUGCGUUGUUUGUAACCAGCAUUGCGUGUAACAUCACUGCACAGAACUCGCCACAGCCCAAUUUAUUGAGCUUCUUUAUGCAACUUUUGAACUGGUUUCAUUUAUUUUUGCAGUCCCUUUGCAGAUUAGAUGCUGAAGACCUUUAAAAGAGGAAAAUCUCCCCGUCGGUGAAGUGGCAGAUCACCAACCACCUCCAGGGGAAGCUACAUGGAAAUGUCUGGGAUUGCAAGUGUAGCCUGUCACCUUGUUAGUCUGCUAAGGGGUGAAAUGCUACAUUCACCUUUUUAAAACUAGCAGGAUGUUCCCCUUCGCAGGGGAGAAAUGGAAAAAAAAAAUAUAAGACCACUUUGAGGGAAUUACAAGUUGGGCAAAUGCUCUACUCUGAAGAGUAGAUCUCCUUGGAUUUUUUUUUUUUUUUUUUUUGGAACCAAAAUGUAUAUUAUGAUAAGGAAAUGCUCACAAUUUUGCUAAGUGGUUUGCUUUUUUUUUUUAAUUUAAGUUAUUUUCUUAAUUUAAGUGAUUUUCUUAAUCUUAAUUUAAAGUGAUCCCUUUAAUUUAAGUGAUUUUCUUGUAGCUGAUCUAAUUUACCUACACUUAAUUUUAUAGAGAAAGUCAAGAUAACCGGUCCUUAUACUCAGCAGUUCCAGCUGGAAGGGGCCAUUCACAAAAUGACCCUAAAAUCUGAACUUGAAACCUCUAGGACAGAAGGCAAAACCAACCUGCAAUUCCUGUAACAAAACUCUAGUUGUCUGGUGUAAGGUGAUUUAUAAGUGCCUGGCAAGCAAACAAAAGCAUUUUACCCCAAUUUUAAAAAAACCCGUUGCAUAUUCAGGUAAUAAUGAUUAAAAAAAAAAAAAGUUUGGAUGAAAUAAAAUCCUGCAGUAGAGCCUGUAAAAUCCCUUGGCAACUGUCAACUUUUGAAGUGUUUCACCUUAGUUUGCACUGAUGGUAAUGAACAUUUAAAUACUUCAGGGGUUUUAUUUAUUUAUUUCAAUCUGACCCACUGGUAUGCUUUUAAGGUCUUAUGCUCUGGGGUAAAAUGUUAUUCUUUGCCUGCUCUUGGAGCACACAUUCCCCUUUCCUCACUUUAAAGUGGCCCUGGGACAAAUCCUGCUUGCAGUGUGGUGUAUUUUUUUCCCACAGAUGAUGGACUGCUGUUAUUCCAGACAUCUCUCAAAUGUUCAGUGGGAUGAUGAGACAAACACCUGUUUGUUUGCACAGUCUGUAUAAUCUGUACCGUUUUUGCAGAUGGUGCCCUUUGCACAGUUCUUUGAGGAGGUGGUGGUGGUUCAUCAUUUGGACACAUCAGGUUUGAACUAUUCAGUGGCCAUCACCAACUGUAAAAUGCCAUAAAUGGAACAAUAUCUUGAGAGGAGCUGCACAGAACCCUUCAGAUGAACCAACUGGCACUGCAAUGCCUAAUGUGCAUUCAGGCAUCCAGGAAAAAUAAAACACAUGGCUCUGGCAGCCCACAAGUGAUGCUACUAAUGAUGGAAGAGAACAACCUUUCCAAGGUCAAGUUACCAAGCAUCUGAACUCUGGAAAGCAUUUGUCAUGGCCUGGGAAUUGAUCUGAAACCUGAGCCAUCUUGGAGAAUAAAUCACCACAGAAAGCAUGCAUUAGAAUAUUCCCUAUGGAGCUGAUUUCCUGGAAGCAGACCUAGGUGCAGUAUUGGUAAUGGGACUAGCAGGCUGGAAGGAGGCUUGUGCCUGAAAAAACAGCACCAGAAAGAUCAAUGAAAACAUCAGUGCUUACAGAGGGAGGGACCAAAGAUCCUUCUUUCAGCUCAGUGGAAAGCUGGAGUGCUCUUCAGGUAAAAGAAGGCUGAAUGUAGCACACAAUACAAAUCCAAAGGAAAGAGGAGGCUUGGAAGAGAAGGGGGCUGAGACUGAAAGCAACACAGCAUGAGAGGAAUGUGAAGUGCUGUUUUAUAAACCGAGCAUUCCUCCUGCUCCCUCAGUUGAUCUGCAAUACUCUGUAAAUAAAUACAUUGCCUGGAUAUUUUUUUUCCAUUUUUCCUUUUGCCAUUUGUAUACUUAACUUUAUAAGUUAUGUCUUUCAUUCCAUGUCAACAAAGAGCCCUUGUGAGAGCAGUCAAGUCCUUUGCCCAGCACACUCUCCAUGCCAAGGUAGGUCCAAAUCCACAGCAGUUGUCAGGAGUGGGUGCUCACUGUCUGGCCAAUAACCAGAGCAAUGGGACAGCUCCUAGCAAUGCAUUAUUAACAGCACCAGAAAGAGCAGUGAAAACAUCAGUGCUUACAGAGGGAGGGACCAAAGCUCCUUCUUUCAGCUCAGUGGAAAGCUGGAGUGCUCUUCAGGUGAGUGAUUAUAAAUGGUAAGCACGUGGAGCUCAUUUUGAAAGUUUUAGUGCUAGUACUUGACAUCGCAUAGCUUGUCAUAAACAAGAGAUGAUCUCUAAGUUUUAUUACGCCAGGGCAGCUUUAAAAUCUUCAAAUCAUACACAGCUUUAUCCCACUUUCUCCCUUUUUCAGUAGCUGUUAUGGCUCAGCCAUUCUUCUUUUCCUUGCUCUUGCCUGCUCAGACAAGCAAAGAUCUUGUCUGAUCUUUGGAUGAAGCAUCAAACAGGCCAAAAUGCACCGGGCUUUGAAACAAGAGGAGCACUGAAAGAGGAAGAUUCCAGCCAGGCCUUUGUCUGUUGGCUGAUUGGUCUGGUUUUCGAGUUGACAUUUGCAAGCAUAAAAGCAUCAGGGAAAGUAGCAAUGGCAUUUUGAGGACUGUGCUGCAAAAAGGGCCAACUAGAAUCUCUCCUGUUUCCACCUGUUCUUCCCCUCUGCCUUCUUCUCAGUUCCAGCCUCUGUCAUCGCUGCAGCAAUCACUGCAGGAAGGUGGAUUAUUGCUUUAGUGCUGUUGGAGUACAUAAUGUUGCAGUUCAUUGGGAUUUUUAAGUUCCUUUUUUUUUCUUACUUAUUUUGAGAAUGCUUUGGCUUUUCUUCGAGGAGAGAACUUGUCCUUUUAGGUACCAUAUCCUAAUGUGCUAAACUCCUACAGAAUAAUCAGAAAAAUCCCAAUUUAACUUAGACUUGGGACUCUUUUAAUCCACUGUUUGGUAAGAUUUCUUAGCUUACCAUGGCACACCAGAGCAUCACAAAGAAAAGGGACACUUCUAAACCAUAACAUAUAUGCACACACAUAUAUAAAUGAAAUUGUAAAGUCACUGAGAAUUUCUACUGAGAUAGUAGGGGAGAAAUGUUAUUUUUAUACUAAGAUUAUGUUUUGCAGUGAAUUUCUGGCUAUUCUGAGGUGAUAAUCAGUGCUGAGUAGGUUUCUUUGCCAUAAAAAGAUCCAGUCUAAAGAGACUCUUGAGUGGCAGCCUAGAUAUGAGAAAUGUUAUUUGAAUUACAUACAGUUUAUAUUCCUGCCCAUUUUUAUAGUAUUUUCCAGAGGCUCUUCUUUAGUUUUAGGCCUUCUCCAUGAAAGCACAUGCAAUAAAACUGUUGCUGCUGCCAGCUUGUAUGCCUGAAAGGUCAACUUUUUUUUUUUUGUUCUAACUUUAUCAGUUUCUUUAAUAAAAGAUAUUAACUCUCUUCACAGCCUUGUCUCACAGAGAGGAGAAAAAUAUCCCCUGCUCCAAAGAAAAUAUCACUUCUAUUUAAUGAUUAAAACAAAUCAGGGGGAGAGAAGAUAUAAGACAGCUACAGGAAAAUUCUGGUUCAGCAUUUAAAUUACACCCAUUUCCACGUGUGAAUAAUGACCCAACUAUGACUGUAGAAUGAAGAAGAGACAAGUCUGUGCAGCGUUCAGAGUUCACCAUCACACUGUGCUCUGCACGGUCACUGACUGAUUAUUCUAAGAUGUUGUGCCAGUUUAAAGGCAAACCAGCUGGGGAAGUGAACCGAACUCAAAGGAGAGAUUUUAAGUCAGAAUAACAAUUUAAUAAAAUAAUACAAGAAAUGCGAUUCU